rnacentral:rRNA from 1 species
AGAAUUUUUCACAAUGGGCGCAAGCCUGAUGGAGCGACGCCGCGUGGGGGAUGAAGGGUUUCGAUCCGUAAACCCCUGUCAUUUGCGAACAAACCUUGAGCGAUAACACCGUUCAAGCUGAUUGUAGCGGAAGAGGAAGGGACGGCUAACUCUGUGCCAGCAGCCGCGGUAAUACAGAGGUCCCAAGCGUUGUUCGGAUUCACUGGGCGUAAAGGGUGCGUAGGUGGCCGGGAAAGUUCGGUGUGAAAGCUCGGAGCUCAACUCCGAAAUGGCAUUGAAUACUAUCCGGCUUGAGGUUCGGAGGGGAGACUGGAAUUCUCGGUGUAGCAGUGAAAUGCGUAGAUAUCGAGAGGAACACCAGUGGCGAAGGCGAGUCUCUGGACGAAUUCUGACACUGAGGCACGAAAGCUAGGGGAGCAAA